AGUGAACGCUGGCGGUAGGCCUAACACAUGCAAGUCGAACGGCAGCACAGUAAGAGCUUGCUCUUACGGGUGGCGAGUGGCGGACGGGUGAGGAAUACAUCGGAAUCUACUUUUUCGUGGGGGAUAACGUAGGGAAACUUACGCUAAUACCGCAUACGACCUACGGGUGAAAGCAGGGGAUCUUCGGACCUUGCGCGAUUGAAUGAGCCGAUGUCGGAUUAGCUAGUUGGCGGGGUAAAGGCCCACCAAGGCGACGAUCCGUAGCUGGUCUGAGAGGAUGAUCAGCCACACUGGAACUGAGACACGGUCCAGACUCCUACGGGAGGCAGCAGCGGGGAAUAUUGGACAAUGGGCGCAAGCCUGAUCCAGCCAUACCGCGUGGGUGAAGAAGGCCUUCGGGUUGUAAAACCCUUUUGUUGGGAAAGAAAAGCAGCAGGUUAAUACCCCGCUGUUCUGACGGUACCCAAAGAAUAAGCACCGGCUAACUUCGUG
rnacentral:rRNA from 1 species